rnacentral:rRNA from 1 species
UACGUAGGGUGCGAGCGUUAAUCGGAAUUACUGGGCGUAAAGCGUGCGCAGGCGGUUCUGAAAGUCAGCUGUGAAAUCCCCGGGCUCAACCCGGGAACUGCGUCCGAUACUGGCAGGCUUGAAUCCGGGAGAGGGAUGCGGAAUUCCAGGUGUAGCGGUGAAAUGCGUAGAUAUCUGGAGGAACACCGGUGGCGAAGGCGGCAUCCUGGACCGGCAUUGACGCUGAGGCGCGAAAGCCAGGGGAGCAAAGCGGGG